CCUACGGGAGGCAGCAGUGGGGAAUAUUGCACAAUGGGGGAAACCCUGAUGCAGCGACGCUGCGUGAGUGAAGAAGUAUUUCGGUACGUAAAGCUCUAUCAGCAGGGAAGAAAAUGACGGUACCUGACUAAGAAGCCCCGGCUAACUACGUGCCAGCAGCCGCGGUAAUACGUAGGGGGCAAGCGUUAUCCGGAUUUACUGGGUGUAAAGGGAGUGUAGACGGCAGCGCAAGUCUGGAGUGAAAUCCCAUGGCUUAACCAUGGAACUGCUUUGGAAACUGUGCAGCUAGAGUGCAGGAGAGGUAAGCGGAAUUCCUAGUGUAGCGGUGAAAUGCGUAGAUAUUAGGAGGAACACCAGUGGCGAAGGCGGCUUACUGGACUGUAACUGACGUUGAGGCUCGAAAGCGUGGGGAGCAAACAGGAUUAGAUACCCUUGUAGUC
rnacentral:rRNA from 1 species